AGGGCACAUAAUGGAUGCCUAGACGUAUAUUACCGAUGAAGGACGUGGAAGACUGCGAUAAGCUUCGGGUAGCUGUCAACAAGCUUUGAUCCGGAGAUUUCCGAAUGGGGAAACCCAACGCGAGUCAUGUCGUGUUACCCUUGUCUGAAUACAUAGGACAUGAGGCGGGAACCAUCUGAACUGAAACAUCUUAGUAGGAUGAGGAAAAGAAAGUAAAUAACGAUUACGAAAGUAGUGGCGAGCGAAAUCGUAAGAGCCCAAACCUUAUAGAUUUUUAUUUAUAUAAAUAAGCUGAUAGGCGAAUAUCUAUGAGGGGUUGUGAUAUCACAUAUGACCAAGUCAGAGCAUUUGAUUAGUUCAAAUAAUCUGAUUUGCGAUAAUUGUCUAUCAACAAUUAGUAAGGUAAGAAAAUUGCGUGGUUAGCAGAAUAGUUUGAAUGACUAGCCAAAGAACGUGAAAGCCGUGUACGUUAAAACGACGCUGACCUUAUAUAUGUUUUAUCGAGUAGGGCGGGGCACGAGAAACCCUGUCUGAAUCUGGCUGGACCACCAGCUAAGGCUAAAUAUAAUAUACGAUCGAUAGUGAACUAGUACAGCGAUGGAAAGGUGAAAAGAACCCCGGGAGGGGAGUGAAAUAGAUCCUGAAAUUAUGUGCCUACAAGGAGUCGGAGCAGAUUUAUUCUGUGACGGCGUGCUUUUUGUAGAACGAUCCAGCGAGUUAAUUUCGUGCGCAAGGUUAAGUUAGUUAACGGAGCCACAGUGAAAGCGAGCCUGAAUAGGGCGUUUAGUGUACGGAAUUAGACCCGAAACCGGGUGACCUAACCAUGAGCAGGUUGAAGCUACUGUAACAGGUAGUGAAGGACCGAACCAGGAUACGCAGCAAAGUGUUUGGAUGACUUGUGGUUAGCGGUGAAAUGCCAAUCGAACUCGGAGAUAGCUGGUUCUCCUCGAAAUAGCUUUAGGGCUAGCGUCAUGUUAGUAAUGUAUGGGGGUAGAGCUCUGUAAAGGAUUGGGGCGGGCGACUGUACCCACCCUUAACAAACUACGAAUACCAUAUAUGUAAUCAUGGCAGUUAGAACAUCGGUGCUAAGAUCGGUGCUCAAAAGGGAAACAGCCCAGACCAUCAUCUAAGGUCCCUAAAUAUACAUUAAGUGGGAAACAAGGUGAAAUUUCUUAAACAGCGAGGAUGUUGGCUUAGAAGCAGCCAUUCAUUUAAAGAGUGCGUAACAGCUCACUCGUCAAGAGAUUUUGCGUGGAAAAUGUAACGGGGCUAAAUGUAUUACCGAAGAUAUGGAUUAUUACAUUAGUAAUAGUGGUAGAGGAGCGUUCCUAUCAGCAGUGAAGCAGUAUUGAAAAGUAUUGUGGAGCGGUAGGAAGUGAGAAUGCUGGAAUGAGUAACCAUAAGAUAGGUGAGAAUCCUGUCGGCCGUAAGAGCAAGGUUUCCUGAGCUAUGGUAAUCAUCUCAGGGUUAGUCGGGCCUAAGCCGAGGCGCAGAGCGUAGGCGAUGGACAUCAGGUUAAUAUUCCUGAACCGGUUAAGUUUUGUACACUGUUCACGGGGAAGUAAUCGAAGCGGAUUCAUGGUUUAUCCGUCCAACCGAGCGGGAACGCAAAGGGAGUGAAAGUGAUUCUUCGGAGUCGCGAUUUUGAUGAAAGCCCUGGCUAGAAAAGCAGGUGUACGCGUGGACUUAGCCGCCCGUACCGCAAACCAACACAGGUGCUCGAGUCGAGUAGACUCAGGCUUACGAGCGAACCUUCGCUAAGGAACUCGGCAAUACAGCGACCGUAACUUCGGGAUAAGGUCUGCCCCCACUUCGGUGGAUAUCAGCCGCGUUCACUCAGUGAAUAAUAGGUUAAAGAGUACAUUUUUAAUCACAAAACGAAUUUUCUGAGACACGAGCAAACAAAUUGCUCUUUGAACGCGAACCUCUUUUAUCUAACGAUGUGGGGGCCGCAGCAAAAGAGCCCACGGAACUGUUUAUCAAAAACACAGGUCUCUGCUAACACGAAAGUGGAUGUAUAGGGGCUGACUCCUGCCCGGUGCCGGAAGGUUAAGGGGAGUGCUUCACGGUGCAAACUGAAGCCCCGGUGAACGGCGGCGGUAACUAUAACCGUCCUAAGGUAGCGAAAUUCCUUGUCAGGUAAGUUCUGACCCGCACGAAUGGAGUAAUCAUGUGGGCACUGUCUCAGCGAAGGACUCGGUGAAAGUGCAUUGGCGGUAAAGAUGCCGUCUGUCCGUACCAGGACGAAAAGACCCCAUGGAGCUUUACUACAGCUUUACAUUGAAUACGGUUUCAACAUGUGUAGCAUAGGUGGGAGAUAUUGAAGCAGAUACGCCAGUAUUUGUGGAGUCACCAAGUGAAAUACCACCCUUGUUGUGAUUGUGUUCUCACGCUGACCGUUAUCCGGUUAGCGGACCGUGUAUGGUGGGUAGUUUAACUGGGGCGGUUGCCUCCUAAAGAGUAGCGG
rnacentral:rRNA from 1 species